rnacentral:rRNA from 1 species
CCUCGGGAGGCAGCAGUGGGGAAUAUUGGACAAUGGGGGCAACCCUGAUCCAGCAAUGCCGCGUGUGUGAUGAAGGCCUUAGGGCUGUAAAGCACUUUCACUGGUGAAGAUGAUGACGGUAACCAGAGGAGAAGCCCCGGCUAACUUCGUGCCAGCAGCCGCGGUAAUACGAAGGGGGCGAGCGUUGUUCGGAAUCACUGGGCGUAAAGGGAGCGCAGGCGGUUCAUUAAGUUAGGCGUGAAAGCCCCGGGCUCAACCUGGGAACUGCGCUUAAUACUGGUGAGCUAGAAAACAGGAGAGGGUAGUGGAAUUUCCAGUGUAGAGGUGAAAUUCGUAGAUAUUGGAAAGAACACCGGUGGCGAAAGCGGCUACCUGGCCUGAUUUUGACGCUGAGGCUCGAAAGCGUGGGGAGCAAACAGGAUUAGAUACCCUGGUAGUCCACGCCGUAAACGAUGACAGCUAGAUGUCGGGGGGUCGCCCCUCGGUGUCGCCGCUAACGCAUUAAGCUGUCCGCCUGGGAAGUACGGUCGCAAGAUUAAAACUCAAAGGAAUUGACGG